rnacentral:rRNA from 1 species
UACGUAGGGUGCGAGCGUUGUCCGGAAUUAUUGGGCGUAAAGAGCUUGUAGGCGGUUUGUCGCGUCUGCUGUGAAAUCUCAAGGCUCAACCUUGAGCUUGCAGUGGGUACGGGCAGACUAGAGUGUGGUAGGGGAGACUGGAAUUCCUGGUGUAGCGGUGAAAUGCGCAGAUAUCAGGAGGAACACCGAUGGCGAAGGCGGCCAACUGGACGAAAUACUGGACGC